UCGGGAAUUUUGGGCAAUGGGCGAAAGCCUGACCCAGCAACGCCGCGUGAAGGAUGAAGUAUUUCGGUAUGUAAACUUCGAAAGAAUAGGAAGAAUAAAUGACGGUACUAUUUAUAAGGUCCGGCUAACUACGUGCCAGCAGCCGCGGUAAUACGUAGGGACCAAGCGUUGUUCGGAUUUACUGGGCGUAAAGGGCGCGUAGGCGGCAAUUCAAGUCAUCUGUGAAAUCUCCGGGCUUAACUCGGAACGGUCAGAUGAUACUGCUUUGCUAGAGUGCAGAAGGGGCAAUCAGAAUUCUUGGUGUAGCGGUGAAAUGCGUAGAUAUCAAGAGGAACACCUGAGGUGAAGACGGGUUGCUGGGCUGACACUGACGCUGAGGCGCGAAAGCCAGGGGAGCAAACGGGAUUAGAUACCCUUGUAGUCCCUGAGCGGGCUGGCAAGGCGCAU
rnacentral:rRNA from 1 species